rnacentral:rRNA from 1 species
UUGGUGCCUUCGGGAACUCUGAGACAGGUGCUGCAUGGCUGUCGUCAGCUCGUGUUGUGAAAUGUUGGGUUAAGUCCCGCAACGAGCGCAACCCUUAUCCUUUGUUGCCAGCGGUUCGGCCGGGAACUCAAAGGAGACUGCCAGUGAUAAACUGGAGGAAGGUGGGGAUGACGUCAAGUCAUCAUGGCCCUUACGAGUAGGGCUACACACGUGCUACAAUGGCGUAUACAAAGAGAAGCGACCUCGCGAGAGCAAGCGGACCUCAUAAAGUACGUCGUAGUCCGGAUUGGAGUCUGCAACUCGACUCCAUGAAGUCGGAAUCGCUAGUAAUCGUAGAUCAGAAUGCUACGGUGAAUACGUUCCCGGGCCUUGUACACACCGCCCGUCACACCAUGGGAGUGGGUUGCAAAAGAAGUAGGUAGCUUAACCUUCGG